ACGGACACAUCACGUUGAAACAUCGAUUCCCGUACGAUCACCAAAGUUAAGCAACGUCGAGUUUGAUUAGUAUCUAGAUUGGUGACAGUUUGAGAAUACCAGGUGGUGCAAG